rnacentral:rRNA from 1 species
UACGUAGGGUGCAAGCGUUGUCCGGAAUUAUUGGGCGUAAAGAGCUCGUAGGCGGUCUGUCGCGUCGGCUGUGAAAACCCGGGGCUCAACCCCGGGCCUGCAGUCGAUACGGGCAGACUAGAGUGUGGUAGGGGAGACUGGAAUUCCUGGUGUAGCGGUGAAAUGCGCAGAUAUCAGGAGGAACACCGGUGGCGAAGGCGGGUCUCUGGGCCAUAACUGACGCUGAGGAGCGAAAGCGUGGGGAGCGAACGGG